AACGAACGCUGGCGGCAUGCCUAAUACAUGCAAGUCGAACGAUCCCUUCGGGGAUAGUGGCGCACGGGUGCGUAACGCGUGGGAAUCUGCCCUUGGGUUCGGAAUAACGUUUGGAAACGAACGCUAAUACCGGAUGAUGACGAAAGUCCAAAGAUUUAUCGCCCAAGGAUGAGCCCGCGUAGGAUUAGCUAGUUGGUAAGGUAAAGGCUUACCAAGGCGACGAUCCUUAGCUGGUCUGAGAGGAUGAUCAGCCACACUGGGACUGAGACACGGCCCAGACUCCUACGGGAGGCAGCAGUAGGGAAUAUUGGACAAUGGGGGCAACCCUGAUCCAGCAAUGCCGCGUGAGUGAUGAAGGCCUUAGGGUUGUAAAGCUCUUUUACCCGGGAUGAUAAUGACAGUACCGGGAGAAUAAGCCCCGGCUAACUCCGUGCCAGCAGCCGCCGUAACAC
rnacentral:rRNA from 1 species